UACGAAGGGGGCUAGCGUUGCUCGGAAUCACUGGGCGUAAAGGGUGCGUAGGCGGGUCUUUAAGUCAGGGGUGAAAUCCUGGGAGCUCAACUCCAGAACUGCCUUUGAUACUGAAGAUCUUGAGUUCGGGAGAGGUGAGUGGAACUGCGAGUGUAGAGGUGAAAUUCGUAGAUAUUCGCAAGAACACCAGUGGCGAAGGCGGCUCACUGGCCCGGUACUGACGCUGAGGUGCGAAAGCGUGGGGAGCAAACAGG
rnacentral:rRNA from 1 species